ensembl:lncRNA
CAGAAUUCCUGGAUGGAAAGGAAGGAAGGAAAUGCGGGCAUGGAUACCGAGGCUACUGGAAUAAAAUAAACACAGGUCUGACUAUGGACCCCUUUUCAUUGAGAUCGGAAGAUAUCAGAUGUCAUGUCCACCACGUGCAUCGCAGCGCCUAACUUUGGCGGACCAGUAUCAAGAACCGGAACAGGCAAGCCAACGUGUUGGGUGACAGUCAACCUGUGCAAGUCACAGCUCCAGUUCCCAAAAGGCUGAAGGCUCCCUCAGAGCAGAGCUUCACUAACUUGGCACACGCAGAGAUCUCAGCCCCUACCACAGCGCCUGUGCCAACAGUGUGCUGGCUAGCUGAUGUCACCUGGAUGCAAGCUGCACUCAUCUGA